rnacentral:rRNA from 1 species
UACGUAGGGGGCGAGCGUUGUCCGGAUUUAUUGGGCGUAAAGAGCUCGUAGGCGGUUUGGUAAGUUGGAUGUGAAAUCUCUAGGCUCAACUUGGAGGGGUCAUUCGAUACUGCCAUGACUAGAGUUCGGUAGGGGAGUGUGGAAUUCCUGGUGGAACGGUGAAAUGCGCAGAUAUCAGGAGGAACACCCGUAGCGAAGGCGGCACUCUGGGCCGGAACUGACGCUGAGGAGCGAAAGCGUGGGGAGCGAACAGG